rnacentral:rRNA from 1 species
GCAAGUCAAACGGGUAGCAAUACCAGUGGCGCACGGGUGAGGAAUACAUGGAUAAUCUGCCUUCGAGUUGGGGAUAACCAGUCGAAAGACUGGCUAAUACCGGAUAAGACCACAGGAUCUGCGGAUCUAGGGGUUAAAGGUUUUUCGCUUGAAGAUGAGUCCAUGCGAGAUUAGCUAGUUGGUGGGGUAAUGGCCUACCAAGGCGACGAUCUGUAGCUGGUCUGAGAGGAUGAUC